CACUCCUACGGGAGGCAGCAGUGGGGAAUAUUGGACAAUGGGCGCAAGCCUGAUCCAGCCAUGCCGCGUGAGUGAUGAAGGCCCUAGGGUUGUAAAGCUCUUUCACCGGUGAAGAUAAUGACGGUAACCGGAGAAGAAGCCCCGGCUAACUUCGUGCCAGCAGCCGCGGUAAUACGAAGGGGGCUAGCGUUGUUCGGAUUUACUGGGCGUAAAGCGCACGUAGGCGGACUAUUAAGUCAGGGGUGAAAUCCCGGGGCUCAACCCCGGAACUGCCUUUGAUACUGGUAGUCUUGAGUUCGAGAGAGGUGAGUGGAAUUCCGUGUGUAGAGGUGAAAUUCGUAGAUAUUCGGAGGAACACCAGUGGCGAAGGCGGCUCACUGGCUCGAUACUGACGCUGAGGUGCGAAAGCGUGGGGAGCAAACAGGAUUAGAUACCCCUGUAGUCCCAUGAU
rnacentral:rRNA from 1 species